GCAUAUCAAUAAGCGGAGGAAAAGAAACUAACUAGGAUUCCCUUAGUAACGGCGAGUGAACCGGGAUGAGCUCAAAUUUAAAAUCUGGCGUCUUUCAGGCGUCCGAGUUGUAAUCUAUAGAGGCGUUUUCCGCGCCGGACCGCGUCCAAGUCUCUUGGAAUAGAGUAUCAAAGAGGGUGACAAUCCCGUACUUGACGCGACAACCGGUGCUCUGUGAUACGUUCUCAAUGAGUCGAGUUGUUUGGGAAUGCAGCUCUAAAUGGGUGGUAAAUUCCAUCUAAGGCUAAAUAUUGGCGAGAGACCGAUAGCGAACAAGUACCGUGAGGGAAAGAUGAAAAGCACUUUGGAAAGAGAGUUAAACAGCACGUGAAAUUGUUAAAAGGGAAACGAUUGAAGUCAGUCGUGUGAAAGGUAUUCAGCCGUCUCUGGCGGUGUAUUUGCCUUUCACGGGUCAACAUCAGUUUGAUCCGGUAGAAAAAGGCGGGAGGAAGGUGGCACCCUCGGGUGUGUUAUAGCCUCCUGUCAUAUGUGCCGGACCAGACUGAGGAACGCAGCUUGCCGCAAGGCCGGGGUUCGCCCACGUACAAGCUUAGGAUGUUGACAUAAUGGCUUUAAACGACCCGUCUUGAAACACGGACC
rnacentral:rRNA from 3 species